UGGGGAAUUUUGCGCAAUGGGCGCAAGUCUGAUCCAGCCACGCCGCGUGGGUGAAGAAGGUCUUCGGAUUGUAAAGCUCUUUCGUCAGGGAAGAAAUUUGGGGCGUUAAUACGGUUUCAGCUUGACGGUACCUGGAGAGGAAGCCCCGGCUAACUAUGUGCCAGCAGCCGCGGUAAUACAGAGGGGGCGAGCGUUAUUCGGAAUUACUGGGCGUAAAGGGCGCGCAGGCGGUUCUUUAAGUCGGAUGUGCAAUCCCCGAGCUCAACUUGGGAACUGCGUCUGAAACUGGGGAGCUAGAGUGCGGGAGAGGGGGGUGGAAUUCCACGUGUAGCGGUGAAAUGCGUAGAGAUGUGGAGGAACACCAGUGGCGAAGGCGGCCACCUGGGCAGUCACUGACGCUGAGGCGCGAAAGUGUGGGUAGCAAACAGGAUUAGAUACCCUGGUAGUCCACGCCGUAAACGAUGAGCACUUGGUGUGGUGGGAGGAGACUCCUUCAGUGCCGUAGCUAACGCGUUAAGUGUCCGCCUG
rnacentral:rRNA from 1 species